CCAGAGGGCCGGGCGGCCGCGGGUGCAGUGAUGCGCGCGAGGAAAGUCCGGGCUCCGCAUAACCACGGUGCCGGAUAACGUCCGGCGGGGGCAACCCCAGGGACAGUGCCACAGAGAAGAGACCGCCUAUGGCCGUCGUCCGGGCAACCGGAUACGCGGUCAGGCAAGGGUGAAACGGUGCGGCAAGAGCGCACCGCGCGACUGGCAACAGAAGCGGCACGGCAAACCCCACCGGGAGCAAGACCGAAUAGGGAUGGCGCGAACGCUGGCGAAAGUUGGGGUUCAGGGUGUGGUUGUCACCCAGUCGUCCGGGUUGGUUGCUUGAGCCCGUCGGCAACGGCGGGCCUAGAGGAAUGGUCGCCCAGUCGCAGCGAUGUGAUGGACAGAACCCGGCUUACAGGCCCUCUGGCACC
rnacentral:RNase_P_RNA from 1 species